rnacentral:rRNA from 1 species
AACGAACGCUGGCGGCAUGCCUAACACAUGCAAGUCGAACGAGACCUUCGGGUCUAGUGGCGCACGGGUGCGUAACGCGUGGGAACCUGCCCUUAGGUUCGGAAUAACUCCCCGAAAGGGGUGCUAAUACCGGAUAAUGUCUUCGGACCAAAGAUUUAUCGCCUUUGGAUGGGCCCGCGUUGGAUUAGCUAGUUGGUGGGGUAAAAGCCUACCAAGGCGACGAUCCAUAGCUGGUCUGAGAGGAUGAUCAGCCACACUGGGACUGAGACACGGCCCAGACUCCUACGGGAGGCAGCAGUAGGGAAUAUUGGACAAUGGGCGAAAGCCUGAUCCAGCAAUGCCGCGUGAGUGAUGAAGGCCUUAGGGUUGUAAAGCUCUUUUACCCGGGAUGAUAAUGACAGUACCGGGAGAAUAAGCUCCGGCUAACUCCGUG